UUAAGUUCAGCGGGUAAUCCUGCCUGAUCUGAGGUCUCAUCUUGGAUUCGACUAGAUCGUCGGGGGUUCGAAGCUUCCAGCUUUUCCAGUUCAGCCAUAACGCCCUUUUUUAACGGGGUGCCAUGUCCUCAGCGAAUAGUCUAUUACGCCGAGUCGAUCUGAUCUCGAAGAUUAGGAUGCUAAUGUAUUACGAACGAGCU
rnacentral:misc_RNA from 1 species